rnacentral:rRNA from 1 species
GACAGAGGGUGCGAACGUUGUUCGGAAUUACUGGGCGUAAAGCGCAUGUAGGCGGCAAUGCAAGUCGGGCGUGAAAUCCCACGGCUCAACCGUGGAAGUGCACUCGAAACUGCAUAACUAGAGUCCUGGAGAGGAAGGUGGAAUGCUUGGUGUAGAGGUGAAAUUCGUAGAUAUCAAGCGGAACACCGGUGGCGAAGGCGGCCUUCUGGACAGUGACUGACGCUGAGAUGCGAAAGCGUGGGGAGCAAACAGG